ACUCAAAGGAAUUGACGGGGGCCCGCACAAGCAGUGGAGUAUGUGGUUUAAUUCGACGCAACGCGAAGAACCUUACCAGGGCUUGACAUCCUCUGACGGCUGUAGAGAUACAGCUUUCCCUUCGGGGACAGAGAGACAGGUGGUGCAUGGUUGUCGUCAGCUCGUGUCGUGAGAUGUUGGGUUAAGUCCCGCAACGAGCGCAACCCCUAUGGUCAGUUGCCAGCACAUCAAGGUGGGCACUCUGGCGAGACUGCCGUUGACAAAACGGAGGAAGGUGGGGACGACGUCAAAUCAUCAUGCCCCUUAUGUCCUGGGCUACACACGUACUACAAUGGCAACAACAGAGGGCAGCCAGGCCGCGAGGUUGAGCGAAUCCCAAAAUGUUGUCUCAGUUCAGAUUGCAGGCUGCAACUCGCCUGCAUGAAGUCGGAAUUGCUAGUAAUGGCAGGUCAGCAUACUGCCGUGAAUACGUUCCCGGGCCUUGUACACACCGCCCGU
rnacentral:rRNA from 1 species